AUAGCGUAUAGUACCGUGAGGGAAAGGUGAAAAGAACCCCGGGAGGGGAGUGAAAGAGAACCUGAAACCCUACACUUACAAGCUGUGGGAGCACAUUUCUUGUGUGACCGCGUACUUUUUGUAGAACGGGCCAACGAGUUACGUUACCUAGCAAGGUUAAGCACUUAAGGUGUGGAGCCGUAGCGAAAGCGAGUCUUAACUGGGCGAUUAGUUAGUUGACGUAGACCCGAAACCGGGCGACCUAUCCAUGGGCAGGUUGAAGCGAAAGUAAAAUUUCGUGGAGGACCGAACCCACGAGCGUUGAAAAGCUCGGGGAUGACCUGUGGAUAGCGGUGAAAUUCCAAUCGAGCCCGGAGAUAGCUGGUUCUCUCCGAAAUAGCUUUAGGGCUAGCCUCAAGAUUUAGAGAAACGGGGGUAGAGCACUGAAUGUCCUAGGGGGUAUUGCACUUACCGAAGACUAUCAAACUCCGAAUACCGUAUUCUUAUGCUUGGGAGUCAGACUAUGGGUGAUAAGAUUCAUAGUCAAAAGGGCAACAGCCCAGAUCGUCAGCUAAGGUCCCUAAAUGUACGUUAAGUGGUAAAGGAUGUGGGAUUGCACAGACAACCAGGAUGUUGGCUUAGAAGCAGCCACUCAUUUAAAGAGUGCGUAAUAGCUCACUGGUCGAGUGAUCCUGCGCCGAAAAUUUCCGGGGCUAAAACGUACUACCGAAGCUACGGCAUCAUUUAUGAUGGGUAGGAGAGCUUUCUAUACGGGUUGAAGCAUUACCGUAAGGAGAUGUGGACUGUAUAGAAGUGAGAAUGUUGGCAUGAGUAGCGAGAUGCGGGUGAGAAUCCCGCAGGCCGUAAACCCAAGGUUUCCAGGGGAAGGUUCGUCCGCCCUGGGUUAGUCAGGACCUAAGCCGAGGCCGAAAGGCGUAGGUGAUGGACAACAGGUUGAUAUUCCUGUACCACCAAUAACCGUUUGAGAAAUGGGAUGACACAGAAGGAUAAGCUAACCGCACUGUUGGUUAUGUGCGGGCAAGUAUUGAGGCAGUUCUGAUAGGCAAAUCCGUCAGAAUAAUGCUGGGGUACGAUGCGGAGCGAAAUUUAGUAGCGAAGUAGCUGAUUUCACACUGUCGAGAAAAGUCUCUAUCGAGGUUAAAGGUGCCUGUACCGCAAACCGACACAGGUGGGUGAGGAGAGUAUCCUAAGGCCAGCCAGAGAACUGUUGUUAAGGAACUCGGCAAAAUGACCCCGUAACUUAGGGAGAAGGGGUGCCUUCGAAAGAAGGCCGCAGAGAAUAGGCCCAAGCGACUGUUUACCAAAAACAUAGGUUUCUGCUAAGUCGCAAGACGAUGUAUAGGAGCUGACGCCUGCCCGGUGCUGGAAGGUUAAGGGGAUCUGUUAGGAUAACCGAAGCAGUGAACUUAAGCCCCAGUAAACGGCGGCCGUAACUAUAACGGUCCUAAGGUAGCGAAAUUCCUUGUCGGGUAAGUUCCGACCCGCACGAAAGGCGUAACGAUCUGGGCGCUGUCUCAACGAGAGACUCGGUGAAAUUGAAAUCCCUGUGAAGAUGCAGGGUACCCGCGACAGGACGGAAAGACCCCAUGGAGCUUUACUGUAGCUUGAUAUUGAG
rnacentral:rRNA from 1 species